rnacentral:misc_RNA from 1 species
UACGUAGGGUGCGAGCGUUAAUCGGAAUUACUGGGCGUAAAGGGUGCGCAGGCGGUUUUGUAAGUCAGAUGUGAAAUCCCCGGGCUUAACCUGGGAAUUGCGUUUGAAACUACAAGACUAGAGUGUGGCAGAGGGAGGUGGAAUUCCAUGUGUAGCAGUGAAAUGCGUAGAGAUAUGGAAGAACAUCGAUGGCGAAGGCAGCCUCCUGGGUUAACACUGACGCUCAUGCACGAAAGCGUGGGGGGCAAACAGG